ACCGUUUCAGAGCACUAUAAAAGCCUUAACGGUUCUAGCUUCACUGCAGUUGGGAAGUUGGCGUUACUGGAGGACGGUGUGCCGGGCUGCAGCGCUGGAGCAGGAGUAGAAAGGAGGUUUACCAGUCUUAGGUGACUAAGCAGUUUCACAAAUAAACCUUCCAGCAAGUUUAAAAAUAAUUAGGCCCAACUCAGAGGAAGAUGUCUAGCGGCUCCAGUGAUGUCGAUGUGCAGGAGAAUGUUCUAUCUGAGAAUGAAGAGCCAGCGAAAACAGUGGUGGAUGUCAUCAAACGUUGCCAGACCAUAGAGGAGACCCUCCAGAACCUAAGUAAGAAGUGUGACCAGAUUCUUGGAAAGGUUUCAAAGAUCUACCGUUGCCGUGUGAAAUCGCUGUGGCAAGCUCGUAAGCCGUUUGGAUAUGCUUACAAGAAUUACAAUUAUCUUAAGGCUAGAAAGCUUAAAUUUCAGAGAAGGAGGAGGAGGAGGAGGGGGCUUUCUGAGUCAUUCUCUCACCCUGAAAGUUAUAGCCCCACUUUCCCAGCAGAGCGCCGUGGUAAUAACCUGAGCAUCCAUGUGGAGACACCUUACAAUUCUGAGGAUUCCCAGGGGCUGGGGCUGCAGUCACCAUUCAGGGAGCAAACAAUCAGAGAGCACGUGCUAGAGCAGACCAUCAACCCGAAUCCAUCGAUCUUCCAGCAUUCUUAUCAGUCAUAUUUCCCAGUUGAUGAAGGAAUGCGGGCCAUUGAUACAUCGGCCCCCUAUCCGAGCCCUGGGCCUCACAGUACCAGCACCAACCUCUCGCCUACUCGGCCUUCCUCAGCAAUACACACAUCCAUGCUGAGCUCAGAAGAUGGCUGCCUGACCCAGAAUACUAGCUGCCUGAGCCAGGUUUCUGGCUGCCUGACCCAGAAUACUAGCUGCCUGACCCUGAAUACUAGCUGCCUGGCCCCGAAUACGAGCUGCCUGACCCCGAAUACUAGCUGCCUGGCCCCGAAUACUAGCUGCCUGGCCCCGAAUACUAGCUGCCUGACUCCGAAUACUAGCUACCUGACUCCGAAUACUAGCUACCUGACUCCGAAUACUAGCUGCCUGGCCCAGAGUUCUGGCUGCCUGACACAGAAGCCUAAGAUGAUAAGUUAUGCCUCUCUAAUGGAAGAUAAACAUUGUGGGUCACCGCUCAGAGUCCCUUGUGGCUUCGCUACGAGCUCACCCCUUCCUCAUGACCAUGAUAGGCUGAAACCAAUCUUCUCUGUUGACCCUUCAACCUGGUCUGUGGAAGACGUGGUCACUUUUCUGAAGCAAACCGAUGCUCCUAUGUCAAACCUCCUCACUGACCUCUUCAGGCACCACGACAUUGAUGGAAAGGCCCUGCUACUGCUCAAGAGUGACAUGAUGAUGCAAUAUAUGGGCCUGAAGCUGGGGACAGCUGUGAAGCUAUGCCACUACAUUGAAAGACUUAAAGAACAAAAAUACUAUGAUAUUUAAAAAAUGUUUCUGCCAACUGAGAUAGGGCUUACUUUUGGGAGUACCAGUGCCUUCUUGAUGGAAACUCAUUUGUCUGCCCUUAGUAGUUUUUGUUUUGUAGGAAAUUCCUCUAAAAAUACAUUAGAUCCAGAAUUGCAGAACUAAAUUAUAGUCUAGUCUACUUCUUUAAAAACCAUAUAACAUGUUACUUUUAGCAUAGUCAAAUAGGAAGUCCUUUAUGUUUUAUUAUUUUCGUUGGAUAGGUUACAAAUAUACUUUAUGCUGGAAAGAGCAAAAAAACUUUGAUUUUUGGUUCAUCUUUAUAUAUAGAACCAGAACAGCUAAAAAAGGAAAUAGCAGGGAUUGACAACUUCUAUAAUUAAAUCCAUGAGAAUGUUUCUGCAGAAGAGAAUUUAAAGGUAGCUUAUAUUUACUUCUUUCUCAAAUACUUUAAUGCUGAUGGCAACAUUUUGCUCAUGCUCUACCAGUUUCCAUAAAGGCAAUAGCCAUAUUGAUUAUUUAUCAUUCUGUUAUUAUAUGUCUUAUUUAUUCAUAUUUAGAGGAAAAGUUCAUAAACUUUUAAAAAGUACUCUUAUUAAUUUGCAGAUAAGUUAUAGAUAGAAUAAAUUAUAGAUAGAAUAGGUUAUAGAUAUAUAAAAAAAUAAAAAAGAAUAAGCUAUAGAUAAAAAAGACAAAAAUAAAAUAAUAAGUUAUAGAUAGAAUAAGUUAUAGAUAGAUUAAAAAAGACAAAAAUAAAAAAUAAGUUAUAGAUAAAAAAGACAAAAAAGAAUAAGUUAUAUAUAGAAUAGGUUAUCAGUAGAUUAAAAAGACAAAAAUAAAAAGAAUAAGUUAUAGUAGAAUAAGUUAUAGAUAGAUUAAAAAGAGUAAGUUAUAGAUAAAAAUAAAAAGAAUAAGUUAUAGAUUAAGUUAUAGAUAGAUUAAAAAAAGACAAAAAUAAAAAAUAAGAAACAGAUAAAGACAAAAAUAAAGACUAAGUUAUAUAUAGAGUAGGUUAUCAGUAGAUAAAAAAGACAAAAAUAAAAAAAGAAUUAAGUUAUAGAUAGAAUGGGUUAUAGAUAGAUGAAAAAGACAAAAAUUUAAAAAAGAGUAAGUUAUAGAUAAAAAAGACAAAAAUAAUAAAAGAAUAAGUUAUAGAUAAAUAAAAAGACAAAAAUUUAAAAAAGAAUAACUUAUAAAUAAAAAGAAAAAAUAAUAAAAGAAUAAGUUAUAGGUAGAUAAAAAAGACAAAAAUAAAAAAGAAUAAGUUAUAGAUAAAAAAGACAAAAGUAAAAAAAGAAUAAGUUAUAGAUAGAAUAGUUGUUUUAUCCAAGAGAUACUGUAUUGUGAGGGUAGUUUGGAUGGAGUAAGACUCUUAUUUUCUUUCAAAUAAAAUACCUAUUAAAAUUUCCAUAUUUUGGCUAAGUUUGGACAUUUAACUACAUAUUCAUUGUUCAUAUCUCUCUACAAAGAUACCUAUGUCCAAAGAUUCGUAUUUUAUUUUAUGUAUUCUUCAUAUAGAUACUACUUUAUAUUUUAUUCUAAAUUAAAAUAUAUAUGCAAGUAAAUUUUUUAUUUUUGAAUUUAAAAUGGCACUUUGUACUCCCUCAAAAGUAAGCAGGAACUAUAUAUUUAUGAAAUGUUUUUAUUCAGUAUACUAUAAAUGAAUCGUUUGCCAUCACAAGUACCUCUCAGUUUACUCUUCAGGGGAUAAGAAACAUCUGUAGAUUUUUUUUUCAUACAUCAACUUCUCUGCCCUGUGCGGUGUUCCUAGUAAAUUUGCAUAGUUCUGAGCCAUUUAUCCUACUAAACUUUGGAAGAUACAAUAAUCCUGUCUUAUCAUUUUGGGCUGUAUAAGUUAGAAGUUUUAAGGGAAACAUUUAUUUUUAUUUUUAUUAUUUUAUUUAUUAGUUUUAUUAUUUAUUAUUAUAUUAUUACAUUGUAUAACUAACAUUUAUAAGCUAUAAGAAUUGGUGCUAACAGUAUUAGCUAUUUAUUAUAAACAUCAGUAAAAUGUUCAGCAGGACCAAAGAUGUACAUUUUCUUCUUAGAAAACAAUUGUACUUUAUAUACAAAUGCAACUAUUUAAUGGGUACAUGUGGUUAAAAGAUUGGCUUCAUCUAUGUCAUUCCUUGUGUAAGACAAGAUUCUAACUUAAACUUGAUUUUCAUUCGAAUUGUUUGUAUGAAGACACUGUACCCAGUUGAACAGUCCUUAGAUGUUUAUGUAACAACUACAUUUUGCAAAUUUCAGAUUUUAAAAAGCAAUAAAAUUUUCAAACCACAACAGUUAAUGUCCAGGCCUCAGAUUUACUUUACUUACUUUCACUGCAUUACGUUAAUGUAUGAAUUUUGUUAGUAUUGAAAAGGAGCCCCUCUAGUAAAUUUGUGGCUUUAUAUCUCUAAAUACUUGAGUUUCAAAAUCUGCCGUUUCUCCUGGUAAAGAGAUGCCUAGGAGCAAAGAGCUGAUUUCUUAUAGUGGGUCUCAAAUGAGACUCCAGAAGCCUUUAAGAAGUUACAUCAAUGAGCUUUCUCUCUGCUCAUAAUACUAUCAAUAAUGCGAGUGUGCUGGACAAUGCCAGUGCCCCUCAUAUAUUUCGUCCCAUCUGAGUUCCCACACCUGCCUGGCAACGCUGGUUGCUCAUUAUCACUGUUGGGGGUGGGGGCAGAAGCCACGUCUUGACACACCUGCUAUUGCCCCUCUUCCUUCAGAUGGCCCAGACUCCUCGGCUGGAUACCUCUGAGGAUCAGCAUUACAGCUGAGUAGCCUUAAUUAUCCGCCCUUCAGCGCCUCUUCACUCCAGGUGCUGCUGCUCUGUGCUGAGGAUCCCAGAAACGUAGUGCUCUUGCUGCUCAGCAGCGUGUCUGUGGUUCAUUGAAGACAGUGGGGCCCUGACGGGGGCUCCCAGAAUGAUGAUCAAUGGGCUGGAACGAGGGUGCUGACCUGAGUGGUCGGAGACUUGAGUAAUUCAGUGUCCCCCCUUUCCCCUAUCUGGUUUGUAAAUUUUUAGUACAGAGACCAUCAUGCCAUAUUGCCCUUCACAGGCAUUUUCCUAGCUGUUCAAAUGACCUUUCCUUGAGCUUUGCCUCCCAGUCUGUCCUUUGACCCUCCGUAGCCAGCCAAAUUCUGUACCCUGAGCUCUAAGACCUUCUGGGCACACCUAGCAUUGCGCUGGUCUUUUGUCUGUGAUUUCACACAGUGGGAUGUCUUAAAGGACAUGUAGAGUCUAGGGGUCCUAUAGGGAUAAAAAUGCCAUGAAUAAUAUUUGAAAUUAAAAUGUAAAUGCUGUGUGUAGUAGCAAUGUAAUUAGGAGAAAAAGCACUGCUUUUUCAAGCUACAGAUAUAAUUGGACUCAGGGUUGGUUGUGUAAAUGACAGUCUCAGUUUCUGGGGCUCUUUCUACAGCUUGAUGCUGGGGCUUAACGUACAAUCCCCUGAUGCUGAUCCAGGCAGAGAGGGAGAGCUCUGGGGUAGAGAGGACGUACAGAGGCACCCACCAUUGGGAUCCGCAGCAGACAGCCAGCUUUCCUUCUCUACCUCCCUGCUCCCCACGUUGUCCAUGACAUUGGUUAAAUGGAACCUUGAGAGCAGCUCUCUUGAGGAAGCACAUACUCAGACUGAGCUUGGCCACUCCUGCUGCACUGGAGGCAGCUGUAAGGCUACAGGAUCACCUCUGACUGGAGGGGCGCUAUCAGCACUGAGGGGAGAUCCUUAAAACGUGAGGGACCUGGCUUCUCCCCUUGAGCUGCCUAGAACCUAGCUGAGAUGAGCCAACAUUCCUGAAAAGGAGAACCUUGGGACGCUUAUAAAACAGCACGUGAGUCCGCUCCAAGUGACAAUAAGUGAUGUAUCAAAAUGCCUCAGUAAUUGUGUGUCCUGUUCCUCAGCCAGAGAACCAAAGCACUUAAGCACCUUUAUUUGUAGAAAUGAUCCUUCACAGGCAAGAGGGCAGCCACGGCAGGGUCAAGGCCUCUGAGAGCCCCACUCCAUUUUGGCCUCACCCCUCUCCUGCUUUGGCCUUGGAUGCUCAAGUCCACAGAUGGACAGGGGUAGGGCAGGGUGUGCACACUCCCCGGGGGUAGAAAGUUCAGUGGGAGCGGGGCACAUACAUCACACCUUCCCUUUGCAUUCACGUAAGAGGGGAGAGAUGAAGCUUCUCUGCAGAUAGCAUGUGUAUUCACUGCUGGAGAGUGUUCUGAAGUGCUGGACAUUGUUGGAACUUGCCACCACCCCAGCUUUCUCAGUCCCCCCCUGUCAUUAGAGGCAUGAAAAACUGGAAGCAACAUUUCCUUUGCCAGUAGAGUUGGCUUCUUGGAUUUGUGCUCUGUCGGGAUUCUGGAAGGAGGAAGGUAAGGAUAAAUGAUUUCCCUCUGGGUGGCAGCAUAGGCCAGGCCUUUGAAUGUCAGUAGAAGGCAGAUGUGGGGUUUGGCAGCAGCCUUUGGCUGUCACCUUGGGAUUCAUUCCCUUCAUUCAUGUAGGCAGCUGAGACUGUUGAGGAAGCUUCUCUGCAGCCCUUGCACUCCUGGACUUCUAGAAAUUUCCUCCCUCACCUUGGACCACUGCC